rfam:Oryza nivara chromosome 4, whole genome shotgun sequence.
AAUAGAUGACGCUGUUGACUUUUUCUCACAUGUUUGACCAUUCGUCUUAUUCAAAAAAUUUAUAUAAUUAUAAUUUAUUUUGUUAUGAGUUGUUUUAUCACUCAUAGUACUUUAAGUGUGAUUUAUAUCUUAUACAUUUGCAUAAAAUUUUUAAAUAAGACGAAUGGUUAAAAAUGUGAAAAAAAAAUCAAUGACAUUAUCUAUU